GACGAACGCUGGCGGCGUGCUUAACACAUGCAAGUCGAACGAAGAGCGAUGGAAGCUUGCUUCUAUCAAUCUUAGUGGCGAACGGGUGAGUAACGCGUAAUCAACCUGCCCUUCAGAGGGGGACAACAGUUGGAAACGACUGCUAAUACCGCAUACGAUCUAAUCUCGGCAUCGAGGAUAGAUGAAAGGUGGCCUCUACAUGUAAGCUAUCACUGAAGGAGGGGAUUGCGUCUGAUUAGCUAGUUGGAGGGGUAACGGCCCACCAAGGCGAUGAUCAGUAGCCGGUCUGGGAGGAUGAACGGCCACAUUGGGACUGAGACACGGCCCAGACUCCUACGGGAGGCAGCAGUGGGGAAUCUGCCGCAAUGGACGAAAGUCUGACGGAGCAACGCCGCGGGAGUGAUGACGGCCUUCGGGUUGUAAAGCUCUGUUAAUCGGGACGAAGGGCCUUCUUGCGAAUAGUGAGAAGGAUUGACGGUACCGGAAUAGAAAGCCACGGCUAACUACGUG
rnacentral:rRNA from 1 species